rnacentral:rRNA from 1 species
GACGAACGCUGGCGGCGUGCUUAACACAUGCAAGUCGAACGGAAAGGCCCUUCGGGGUACUCGAGUGGCGAACGGGUGAGUAACACGUGGGUGAUCUGCCCUGCACUUUGGGAUAAGCCUGGGAAACUGGGUCUAAUACCGAAUAGGACCACGCGCUUCAUGGUGUGUGGUGGAAAGCUUUUGCGGUGUGGGAUGGGCCCGCGGCCUAUCAGCUUGUUGGUGGGGUAAUGGCCUACCAAGGCGACGACGGGUAGCCGGCCUGAGAGGGUGACCGGCCACACUGGGACUGAGAUACGGCCCAGACUCCUACGGGAGGCAACAGUGGGGAAUAUUGCACAAUGGGCGCAAGCCUGAUGCAGCGACGCCGCGUGAGGGAUGACGGCCUUCGGGUUGUAAACCUCUUUCACCAGGGACGAAGCGUAAGUGACGGUACCUGGAGAAGAAGCACCGGCCAACUACGU